UACGGAGGGGGCUAGCGUUGUUCGGAAUUACUGGGCGUAAAGAGCGUGUAGGCGGCCAAGCAGGUCCGUUGUGAAAACUGGAGGCUUAACCUCCAGACGUCGACGGAAACCGCGUGGCUAGAGUCCGGAAGAGGAGAGUGGAAUUCCUGGUGUAGCGGUGAAAUGCGCAGAUAUCGGGAAGAACACCCGUGGCGAAGGCGGCUCUCUGGAACGCAACUGACGCUGAGACGCGAAAGCGUGGGGAGCAAACAGG
rnacentral:rRNA from 1 species